UUAGAGUACAUAGCAUAAAAGAAGCACUUUGGAAUAAAGUGCACUGUAUUUUUACUUCAAUCCUAAUUAUUCUCUUUUUUUCAGAGUCAUUAUACUGCUGUGUGUUCUUCAGAAAACCAUUCACUGCAUUCAUCAAAUAGUCACUUUCCACCAAUUGACGUUUCUCUUCAUAAUGGAUCACAUUUUAUGCUACUUUGCAUUGCAGACUGCUACACUGCCCUGCAAAACAUAGCCACUUCAGACUUCCUGGACUUCCAGCUCCAUACUCUCAACUCAACAAUCUCCAAGUUCUGCCCAGCUUCUCCCUUUAUUCUCAGUGGCCUGAAAACUCUCUGAAGGUAAU